rnacentral:rRNA from 1 species
UACGUAGGGGGCAAGCGUUGUCCGGAAUCAUUGGGCGUAAAGAGCUCGUAGGCGGCUCAGUAAGUCGGGUGUGAAACCCUCAGGCUCAACCUGGGGACGCCACUCGAUACUGCUGUGGCUAGAGUCCAGUAGAGGAGUGUGGAAUUCCCGGUGUAGCGGUGAAAUGCGCAGAUAUCGGGAGGAACACCAACGGCGAAGGCAGCACUCUGGGCUGGUACUGACGCUGAGGAGCGAAAGCGUGGGUAGCAAACAGG